rnacentral:lncRNA from 1 species
GAGGCAGAGAGAUACUCUAAUGAAAAAAACUGUGUUAGUGACUCGCCAAACUGAUUGGUGGUAACAACCAACUUGUAUGAAAAUUAUUACACAACGCACAUUUUGGAGGACAAAGAAAGACCUACUACUGUUACAGCUUCUUGUGGCUGCAAAAGCCAGUUUGAACAACAUGAAUUAAGAAAACUUCCGAUUUUUCCUUUCUGUUAAUAUAUUUUUACAAUUAUUUUAUGUGAAUUGGAAUAAUAGGAUAGAGACAGACACUGUAGGUAGUCUUGCAUGUUAGCUUUUGAAGCAGGUUUCUGACUAGACGAACCCAGAGGCAGACACAAUGUCGAAUUCCUCAAUAAUUGGGUUUAUUUCUGUUACCAACGUCUUAAGAACGUGAAAUAAUCUUUAUAGGAAAAAAAAGAUUGUACAUAUUUUCAUAGUAACAUAAAAAGGUGUAGUUCUGAAGAUUGGUUAUCUUUUUUUU